UGAAAAUAUUCAUAAAAUAACUCAAAAGCACAGUCGAAUACAAUUAUUUAUAAAUAGGUAAACUUUUUUUAAUAGUUGAUUUUAGUUUUGAACUUUUACAUUAAGAAAAAUUAUAACGAAAAAACUAAAUGUGUGAAACAUCGUGUAAAUCGUACAAAUAGAACAAUGGCAACAUUGGGGAAAUAAAAACAUAAGAGAACAACUGAUUUCUGCGUUGCAACUACGGGCAUAACUUUUGACAAAAUUGGUUUGAUACGGGCGUUUUUUAACCAUUUUUGCUGGCAGGGCAAAAGAUUCAACACAAUUACACAUUUUUUCUUCAAGCACCAACCAAUUCAACCAAUACCAACGCACACCUUUGGUAUACUUAUUUUUUUAACUAAUUUCAAAUAUACGAAACAAACCAACCGUGCUAAGUUAAGAAAAUUAUGUAUAUAUUUUUAUAAAUGUAUUAUUAACUAUCAUCUUUUUAAUAUUAAUAAAGCCUACAUGAAAGGGCCAACAUUCUUACGCUACACUGUCUCGUGGACUGUUGAUGACAAGUUUUAACUGGCAAAACAAA